UGGAUUGGACCUCACGAACAUCCUCUAUAAGAUAACUAAUCUGUAGAUUAAAGUUCAUAGAUAUUUAUUCGAGGAGACUCAAGCUUCGAUUUGAAAUUUAAGAUGACAUGCCCUUGAAAAGGAAGGGGAUGAAACAUCUCAAAAUAGAACUUUUGAUGCAUGGGAGUCCCGAUCUACCCAUGACGAUAUCAAAUAGAGAUAUUUCUUCAAUUUAUUAAGAUCGAUUUAUUCUUAAUUAAUCGAUCUAAUUCUUAAAGUCUUAUCAUUUUUAAUGUUAUGAAGUUUACUUAUUAUAUUAAGUCACAUCGGCUUCCCGAUUGAUCCAACUAAGAUUAGAUAAUCUCCAUUAUAAAUAUAAUUAUCUAAGUUCCAUAUAGGAUAGUUAUACCC
rnacentral:lncRNA from 1 species